GGGGACGUGACUCAGUGGCAGAGUAUCUGCUUGGUACGCAGAAGGCUUUGGGUUCAAUCCCCGGCAUCUCCA